rnacentral:rRNA from 1 species
UGGGGAAUUUUGGACAAUGGGGGAAACCCUGAUCCAGCCAUCCCGCGUGUGCGAUGAAGGCCUUCGGGUUGUAUAGCACUUUUGGCAGGAAAGAAACGUCAUGGGUUAAUACCCCGUGAAACUGACGGUACCUGCAGAAUAAGCACCGGCUAACUACGUGCCAGCAGCCGCGGUAAUACGUAGGGUGCAAGCGUUAAUCGGAAUUACUGGGCGUAAAGCGUGCGCAGGCGGUUCGGAAAGAAAGAUGUGAAAUCCCAGAGCUCAACUUUGGAACUGCAUUUUUAACUACCGGGCUAGGGUGUGUCAGAGGGAGGUGGAAUUACGCGUGUAGCAGUGAAAUGCGUAGAUAUGCGGAGGAACACCGAUGGCGAAGGCAGCCUCCUGAGAUAACACUGACGCUCAUGCACGAAAGCGUGGGGAGCAAACAGG